GGCUACCAAGUUGAUACUGUGGCAGAUCCUAGCAGUCAUAACUGCCCCUGUUGCACAGUUCCAUGGGGUUGACCCCUACCCCCACAGCUGCUCACCUGGCAUCCCACUCAUUUACAGGAGUAUGGAGAGGAGAACUGGAAUGCAAAGCAGAGGCAUAUGUAUGAUCUUUCAUUGUCCUAUGUCUCUAUCUGUUUGUAAAACAAAUACAUAUGCCUGUUUUGGUGUUGUGGUCAGCCUGCAGCCCUUUUUGUGUUUAAUAAAGAAACUUCUGGAGAAGAGCCUGUGAAUUCA